UACGUAGGGUGCGAGCGUUGUCCGGAAUUAUUGGGCGUAAAGAGCUCGUAGGCGGUGUGUCGCGUCGGCCGUGAAAACCUGGGGCUCAACUCUGGGCGUGCGGUCGAUACGGGCAUCACUUGAGUUCGGUAGGGGAGACUGGAAUUCCUGGUGUAGCGGUGAAAUGCGCAGAUAUCAGGAGGAACACCGGUGGCGAAGGCGGGUCUCUGGGCCGAUACUGACGCUGAGGAGCGAAAGCGUGGGGAGCGAACAGG
rnacentral:rRNA from 1 species